rnacentral:rRNA from 1 species
GCACAAGCGGUGGAGCAUGUGGUUUAAUUCGACGCAACGCGCAGAACCUUACCAGCCCUUGACAUCCCGGUCGCGGACUCCAGAGACGGAGUUCUUCAGUUCGGCUGGACCGGAGACAGGUGCUGCAUGGCUGUCGUCAGCUCGUGUCGUGAGAUGUUGGGUUAAGUCCCGCAACGAGCGCAACCCCCGUCCUUAGUUGCUACCAUUUAGUUGAGCACUCUAAGGAGACUGCCGGUGAUAAGCCGCGAGGAAGGUGGGGAUGACGUCAAGUCCUCAUGGCCCUUACGGGCUGGGCUACACACGUGCUACAAUGGCGGUGACAAUGGGAUGCGAAGACGCAAGUCCUAGCAAAUCUCAAAAAGCCGUCUCAGUUCGGAUUGGGCUCUGCAACUCGAGCCCAUGAAGUUGGAAUCGCUAGUAAUCGCGGAUCAGCACGCCGCGGUGAAUACGUUCCCGGGC